rnacentral:sRNA from 1 species
UCACCGCAGUGACGAAGUCACGCACGAGC